rnacentral:rRNA from 1 species
UACGUAUGUCCCGAGCGUUAUCCGGAUUUAUUGGGCGUAAAGCGCGCGCAGACGGUUAAUUAAGUCUGAUGUGAAAGCCCGGAGCUCAACUCCGGAAAGGCAUUGGAAACUGGUUAACUUGAGUGCAGUAGAGGUAAGUGGAACUCCAUGUGUAGCGGUGAAAUGCGUAGAUAUAUGGAAGAACACCAGUGGCGAAGGCGGCUUCCUGGACAACAACUGACGUUGAGGCUCGAAAGUGUGGGUAGCAAACAGG